rnacentral:lncRNA from 1 species
UAAGCUGUAAUCCUGACCUUGAACUGUUUACCUGGCUCCAUACCUCAGGCUCUGCCCUGCCCUCCAGCUCCUGGGCAUUGCCCACAGCAAGAAUGCACAUGAGCUACGUGUCCCAUAGACGAAUCCUAGGAUGUUAAAUGGCAUGGACUACCACAGUUUCCAAAGACUUAAAGUGCAGCAUCACCCAGAGGACAAUGGAAGGGCACAUGGUGGGUUUGAGUAGGACAAAAAUCCAUUAUACAAAAUCUGUAGAAAAAAAAUGAUAGAAAAGAUUUCAUCAGAAUGAUAUGUGCUUGGAAAUAAGAUUGGAUGUGUUCCUUAUCAAGAGUAAGAAAUGCUUUGAUGGUGUUAUCUGUAUAGCAUUUGAUGUCAAAGAACAGGAAAAUAGCAAGUGCAGAACACAGCGAGACAUUAACAUCAGAAAAACAAGUUUGUGAGUGAAUAAAGAGAGUUCAUACAGCUUUCAAGUAAUUUACAGAGUAACUGAUGCACAGCUUUAUGCCACCUCCUCUUCAGCCUCCUCCUCAAAUUCUCCCUCCUCCUCACCAGUGGCAUCCUGAUACUGCUGAUAACCAGAAACCAAAUUAUUCAUGUUACUUUCUGCUUCAGUGAAUUCCAUUUCAUCCAUGCCCUCUCCAGUAUCCAGGGUAAGAAAGCCUUUCUGCAAAACAUGGUUGUAAACUGCUCAGAAAUGCACUUAAAGACCUCUUGGAUGGCAAUACUAUUACCAAUGAAGGUGGCAGACAUUUUCAGACCCCAGGGUGGGAUGUCACAAACAGCUGUUUUCACAUUGUUGGGGAUCCAUUAAACAAAGUAACUGCUGUUCUUGUUUUGAACAUUGAGCAUUUGCUCAUCUACCUCCUUCAUGGACAUAUGGCCUCUGAACAUGGCUGCUACUGUAAGAUAGCACCCAUGCUGAGGGUCACAAGCAGCCAUCAUCUUCUUUGCAUCAAACAUCUGCUGGGUGAGCUCUGGCACAGUUAAAGCACAGUACUGCUGGCUACCACAGCUAGUCAGUGGAGCAAAGCCAGGCAUAAAGAAGUGCAGACGGGGAAAGGGGACCAUGUUCACAGCCAGCUUAUGCAAGUCAGCUUUAAACUGCCCUGGGAAACAUAAAGAGAACAUCUAAGUAGCUCAAUGGAUUGAGACCCAAGCCUAGAGGUGGAAGGUUCUGUGUUCAAAUCUAGCCUCAGACAUUUUCUAGCUAUAUGACCCUGGGCAAGUUACUUAACCCCCAUUGCUUGGCCCUUACUGCUCAUCUGUUGUAGAACCAAUAAACAAUAUUGAUUCUAGAAUGAAAAGUAAGAA